rnacentral:lncRNA from 1 species
GUUUACCUGGCUAAGGCAUGACACGGCUUCCCUUUCAGAUUCCAGUGCACUCCUCUGACCAUAUUGGGAAGGAUAUGUAAAACAAUAAGAGUUUCAGGGAAUAAGAAUGAGGGUGAGAGGGAAUCAGUGAGGACUCCCAAGGACAAAGCAGCCAGAACAAGACAGAGUUUCUCUUGUUUUGUUGCCCAGGCUGGAGUGCAAUGGUGCGAUCUUGGCUCACCGCAACCUCCGCCUCCUGGGUUCAAGCAAUUCUCCUGCCUCAGUCUCCUAAGUAGCUGGGAUUACAGUUUAUAGCUCAGCAGUUCCAAGACGGCUGAAUAGGAACAGCUCCAGUAUAUGGCUCCCAGCAUGAGUGAUGCAGAAGACGGGUGAUUUCUGCAUUUUCAACCAAGGUACCUGGUUUAUCUCACUGGGGCUUGUUGGACAGUGGGUGCAAUCCACGAAGUGUGAGCCAAAGCAGGGCGGGGCAUCGCCUCACCCAGGAAGUGCAAGGGGUCGGGGAAUGCCCUUUCCAAGCCAAGGGAAGCCAUGACAGUUGGUACCUGGAAAAUCGGGACACUCCCAUCCUGAUACUGCACUUUUCCAACGAUCUUAGCAAAUGGCACACCAGGAGAUUAUAUCCCAUGCCUGGCUUGGAGGGUCCCACACCCACGGAGCCUCGCUCACUGCUAGCACAGCAGUCUGAGACUGAACUGCAAGGCAGCAGUGAGGCUGGGGGAGGGGCGUCUGCCAUUGCUGAGGUUUGAGUAGGUAAACAAAACACUCCAGCCUGGGCAACGGACUGAGAUUCUGUCUC